AUUGAACGCUGGCGGCAUGCCUUACACAUGCAAGUCGAACGGCAGCAUGAUCUAGCUUGCUAGAUUGAUGGCGAGUGGCGAACGGGUGAGUCAUACAUCGGAACGUGCCCUGUAGUGGGGGAUAACUAGUCGAAAGAUUAGCUAAUACCGCAUACGACCUGAGGGUGAUAGUGGGGGACCGCAAGGCCUCAUGCUAUAGGAGCGGCCGAUGUCUGAUUAGCUAGUUGGUGAGGUAAAGGCUCACCAAGGCGACGAUCAGUAGCUGGUCUGAGAGGACGAUCAGCCACACUGGGACUGAGACACGGCCCAGACUCCUACGGGAGGCAGCAGUGGGGAAUUUUGGACAAUGGGCGAAAGCCUGAUCCAGCAAUGCCGCGUGUGUGAAGAAGGCCUUCGGGUUGUAAAGCACUUUUGUCCGGAAAGAAAUGGCUCUGGUUAAUACCUGGGGUCGAUGACGGUACCGGAAGAAUAAGGACCGGCUAACUACGUG
rnacentral:rRNA from 1 species